UACACAUUGACCAGCAAACAUGACAAAUUAAAAAAAAAAAAUUAAAAAAAUGUCCUCCACACAUAUUAGCACUUGAUUUUGGAAAGACUGUACACUCCCUCAUUCACCUUGUUGGCCUAGAAUCAGUUUGCACUGCACAGAAUUAGCUAUGCAAUCAUACUGCUCACUCAUUUUUAACUGUUGAUCUCGCUGAACACACUCCUUGCUUUUAACUGCAUUAACAAGCCAAUGGCCUACUUUUGCAGGAAUUGUUAAAGUGCACCUGACCUGUCAGUAGCAGUGGUGGAGUGGGCAGGCAGGCAAGCAGGAUAGCUAGCUGGGGGAUGGGCUGGAUGGUUGGUUGCCUAAAUGAAUGCAAGCCACCCAGUAAGAGUACAGAUAACCGCAUAAUUAACCAUGCAGCAGCAGCAACAGUAGCUGUUGCUGCUUGCAUGGUUAAAAAGAAAUUGCUUUAUGUGUGCAGCAAUACUACUGUCAACAACAAGUCUAUACACACAGCAGUAGCAGCAGUUAGAGUCUCUGCUGCAUCAUCACAGUUUCUGUCCUGCUCACGGAGGAAGCAUAUUAACCUGACUGAGCAACUUAACAAUGCUUAUUCACUUGCCUUCUGCCCAGCUGCAAACCUUUCAUUGCAAAGCAAGGCAAUAAAGUAGUCCUGAUCAACACACUAAAGAAAAAAAAAAUCUCGAAUAUUUACAUUAUCAAUCAUCUUUUUCAGUAAAUCUCAACUCUGUAUUCAUGUUCUGUUUCUAUUAGUUGAGCGCAACCUUCAUCUUAUAAAGAAACUCCCUGUUUCCAAAUGUGCUUACCAGUUUGUUGCUUUCUGAGUUCACCAACUUCACAUGCAAGAAAAAUUAUGAAGAAUAUGUGUUUUUCAUGUUGAGUCAACAUUAUACUGAAAAUGGUCCACAGCUCAUGUUGGAUAUUUCUCAAUCAUCUCCAAUGGCUGGUUCCUUUGGAUUGUUACAUAACUAAUACACCUGACCUGUCUCUUCACUGUUAUGGCUCCAGCUACUGUACCAAUCCACUACUAUGUCACAUGUCUGUGUGUCCAGUAACCUUACCCCAGUCGCAGUUCUAAUUUGUGUAGUAUGGGGUUUAGGUCGUUUAUGUCUAUGCUUGUGUGUAUGAUUUAACGCAGUCAACUGAAACUCAGCUUCAUCAUGUAGCCAGUAUUAUUGGAGUAUGGAAGCACUCAGUUGGUUACGACGACGAGGGUUCCGAUUGAUCCGAAUCAACAGAACAGCCUGCUCGUGAAAUUAACGUGUAAGUGGCUGAGCACUCCACAGACACGUGUACCCUUAACGUA
rnacentral:misc_RNA from 1 species